rnacentral:rRNA from 1 species
CCUACGGGAGGCAGCAGUGGGGAAUAUUGGUCAAUGGGCGCAAGCCUGACCCAGCAACGCCGCGUGAGGGAAGAAGGCUUUCGGGAUGUAAACUUCUUUUCUCAGGGACGAAGCAAGUGACGGUACCUGACGAAUAAGCCACGGCUAACUACGUGCCAGCAGCCGCGGUAAUACGUAGGUGGCAAGCGUUAUCCGGAUUUAAUGGGUGUACAGGGCGUGUAGGGGGGGGUGCAAGUCAGAUGUGAAAACUAAGGGCGCAACCCUGGGCCUGCAGUUGAAACUGUGUGUCUUGAGUGCGGGAGAGGUAAGCGGAAUGCCGGGUGUAGCGGUGAAAUGCGUAGAUAUAAGGAGGAACACCAGUGGCGAAGGCGGAUUGCUGGACAGUGACUGACGCUGAGGCGCGAAAGCGUGGGGAGCGAACAGGAUUAGAUACCCGGGUAGUC